GAGCAUGUGGUUUAAUUCGAUGCAACGCGAAGAACCUUACCUGGUCUUGACAUCCACGGAAGUUUUCAGAGAUGAGAAUGUGCCUUCGGGAACCGUGAGACAGGUGCUGCAUGGCUGUCGUCAGCUCGUGUUGUGAAAUGUUGGGUUAAGUCCCGCAACGAGCGCAACCCUUAUCCUUUGUUGCCAGCGGUCCGGCCGGGAACUCAAAGGAGACUGCCAGUGAUAAACUGGAGGAAGGUGGGGAUGACGUCAAGUCAUCAUGGCCCUUACGACCAGGGCUACACACGUGCUACAAUGGCGCAUACAAAGAGAAGCGACCUCGCGAGAGCAAGCGGACCUCAUAAAGUGCGUCGUAGUCCGGAUUGGAGUCUGCAACUCGACUCCAUGAAGUCGGAAUCGCUAGUAAUCGUGGAUCAGAAUGCCACGGUGAAUACGUUCCCGGGCCUUGUACACACCGCCCGUCACACCAUGGGAGUGGGUUGCAAAAGAAGUAGGUAGCUUAACCUUCGGGAGGGCGCU
rnacentral:rRNA from 1 species